CGCCCUCUUUAGUUUGGUGAAUGC
rnacentral:miRNA from 1 species